UUGGUUAAGUUAGAAAGGGCGCACGGUGGAUGCCUUGGCACUAGGAGCCGAAGAAGGACGGGACUAACACCGAUAUGCUUUGGGGAGCUGUACGUAAGCGUUGAUCCAGAGAUUUCCGAAUGGGGGAACCCACUAUCUUUAGUCGGAUAGUAUCCUUACGUGAAUACAUAGCGUGAGGAAGGCAGACCCAGGGAACUGAAACAUCUAAGUACCUGGAGGAAGAGAAAGAAAAAUCGAUUUCCUGAGUAGCGGCGAGCGAAACGGAAAGAGCCCAAACCAAGAAGCUUGCUUCUUGGGGUUGUAGGACACUCUAUACGGAGUUACAAAAGAAAGUUAUAAAUGAAGCGGUCUGGAAAGGCCCGCCAAAGACGGUAACAGCCCGGUAGUUGAAAUAGCUUUCCCUCCAGAGUGGAUCCUGAGUACGGCGGAACACGUGAAAUUCCGUCGGAAUCCGGGAGGACCAUCUCCCAAGGCUAAAUACUCCCUAGUGACCGAUAGUGAACCAGUACCGUGAGGGAAAGGUGAAAAGCACCCCGGAAGGGGAGUGAAACAGUUCCUGAAACCGUGUGCCUACAAGUAGUUAGAGCCCGUUAAUGGGUGAUAGCGUGCCUUUUGUAGAAUGAACCGGCGAGUUACGAUUUGUUGCAAGGUUAAGCGGAAAAAGCGGAGCCGUAGCGAAAGCGAGUCUGAAUAGGGCGCAUAAGUAACAGGUCGUAGACCCGAAACCAGGUGAUCUACCCAUGUCCAGGAUGAAGGUAAGGUAAUACUUACUGGAGGUCCGAACCCACGCACGUUGAAAAGUGCGGGGAUGAGGUGUGGGUAGCGGAGAAAUUCCAAUCGAACUUGGAGAUAGCUGGUUCUCUCCGAAAUAGCUUUAGGGCUAGCCUCGAGGUAAAGAGUCAUGGAGGUAGAGCACUGUUUGGACUAGGGGCCCUUCUCGGGUUACCGAAUUCAGAUAAACUCCGAAUGCCAUGUACUUAUACUCGGGAGUCAGACUGCGAGUGAUAAGAUCCGUAGUCGAAAGGGAAACAGCCCAGACCACCAGUUAAGGUCCCCAAAUAUAUGUUAAGUGGAAAAGGAUGUGGGGUUGCUUAGACAACCAGGAUGUUGGCUUAGAAGCAGCCACCAUUGAAAGAGUGCGUAAUAGCUCACUGGUCGAGUGACCCCGCGCCGAAAAUGUACCGGGGCUAAACAUAUUACCGAAACUGUGGAUGAACCUCUUUAGAGGUUCGUGGUAGGAGAGCGUUCUAAGGGCGGUGAAGUCAGACCGGAAGGACUGGUGGAGCGCUUAGAAGUGAGAAUGCCGGUAUGAGUAGCGAAAGAAGGGUGAGAAUCCCUUCCACCGAAUAUCUAAGGUUUCCUGAGGAAGGCUCGUCCGCUCAGGGUUAGUCGGGACCUAAGCCGAGGCCGAUAGGCGUAGGCGAUGGACAACAGGUAGAGAUUCCUGUACCAGUGCUAAUUGUUUAACCGAUGGGGUGACACAGAAGGAUAGGGAAUCGCACGAAUGGAAAUGUGCGUCCAAGCAGUGAGUGUGAGAAGUAGGCAAAUCCGCUUCUCGCGAAGCAUGAGCUGUGAUGGGGAAGGAAAUUAAGUACGGAAGUUCCUGAUUUCACGCUGUCAAGAAAAGCCUCUAGGAAGAGUAGUACUGCCCGUACCGCAAACCGACACAGGUAGAUGAGGAGAGAAUCCUAAGGUGAGCGAGAGAACUCUCGUUAAGGAACUCGGCAAAAUGACCCCGUAACUUCGGGAGAAGGGGUGCUCUAUUAGGGUGCAAGCCCGAGAGAGCCGCAGUGAAUAGGCCCAGGCGACUGUUUAGCAAAAACACAGGUCUCUGCAAAACCGUAAGGUGACGUAUAGGGGCUGACGCCUGCCCGGUGCUGGAAGGUUAAGAGGAGUGCUUAGCUUCGGCGAAGGUACGAAUUGAAGCCCCAGUAAACGGCGGCCGUAACUAUAACGGUCCUAAGGUAGCGAAAUUCCUUGUCGGGUAAGUUCCGACCCGCACGAAAGGCGCAACGAUCUGGGCACUGUCUCAACGAGAGACUCGGUGAAAUUAUAGUACCUGUGAAGAUGCAGGUUACCCGCGACAGGACGGAAAGACCCCGUGGAGCUUUACUGCAACCUGAUAUGGAAUGUUUGUACCGCUUGUACAGGAUAGGUAGGAGCCGAAGAGACGUGUGCGCUAGCAUACGAGGAGGCAAUGGUGGGAUACUACCCUGGCUGUAUGACCAUUCUAACCCGCCACGCUUAGCGCGUGGGGAGACAGUGUCAGGUGGGCAGUUUGACUGGGGCGGUCGCCUCCUAAAGAGUAACGGAGGCGCCCAAAGG
rnacentral:rRNA from 1 species